UUGCUUCUGAGGCACACACACUACAAUUGAAACAAUACAGAGAAGAUUAACAUGGCACCUGCACAGGGAUGACUUGCAAAUUCGUGAAGCGUUCCAAAUUUUU